GUCUGAGUUCCUCACCUUCUGCAUCGUCCUCUGAAACCUCCCAGCCUGAUAAAUCAGCUACAACUUCAGGUCUUCAGCUUUAUAUUGUUCUGACUCUGGUCAUCAAGAUCAUCUUACUGUCAAUACCUUUGGUGAUUUUCUGCAGGAAGAGGAGGAUUGCUAAACAAAAGACCAACCAAGAGACCGAGGAAAUCAGAGAAGGACAGAGAGCUCAACGGGCCUCCUGAGGAAGUAUCUUCAGUUUGGUGUGUGCUGUUUGACUGGAGACCACCCACUGUACUAGAAAACCUUUUAUAGAUAAAAUAUUGU